AGCGGAUGACGAGAGCUUGCUCUCUGAUUCAGCGGCGGACGGGUGAGUAAUGCCUAGGAAUCUGCCUGGUAGUGGGGGACAACGUUUCGAAAGGAACGCUAAUACCGCAUACGUCCUACGGGAGAAAGCAGGGGACCUUCGGGCCUUGCGCUAUCAGAUGAGCCUAGGUCGGAUUAGCUAGUUGGUGAGGUAAUGGCUCACCAAGGCGACGAUCCGUAACUGGUCUGAGAGGAUGAUCAGUCACACUGGAACUGAGACACGGUCCAGACUCCUACGGGAGGCAGCAGUGGGGAAUAUUGGACAAUGGGCGAAAGCCUGAUCCAGCCAUGCCGCGUGUGUGAAGAAGGUCUUCGGAUUGUAAAGCACUUUAAGUUGGGAGGAAGGGCAUUAACCUAAUACGUUAGUGUUUUGACGUUACCGACAGAAUAAGCACCGGCUAACUCUGUGCCAGCAGCCGCGGUAAUACAGAGGGUGCAAGCGUUAAUCGGAAUUACUGGGCGUAAAGCGCGCGUAGGUGGUUUGUUAAGUUGGAUGUGAAAGCCCCGGGCUCAACCUGGGAACUGCAUUCAAAACUGACAAGCUAGAGUAUGGUAGAGGGUGGUGGAAUUUCCUGUGUAGCGGUGAAAUGCGUAGAUAUAGGAAGGAACACCAGUGGCGAAGGCGACCACCUGGACUGAUACUGACACUGAGGUGCG
rnacentral:rRNA from 1 species